rnacentral:rRNA from 1 species
UACGAAGGGGGCUAGCGUUGCUCGGAAUCACUGGGCGUAAAGGGCUCGUAGGCGGCCAACUAAGUCAUACGUGAAAUCCCUCAGCUUAACUGGGGAACUGCGUGUGAUACUGGAUGGCUUGGAUUUGGGAGAGGGAUGCGGAAUUCCAGGUGUAGCGGUGAAAUGCGUAGAUAUCUGGAGGAACACCGGUGGCGAAGGCGGCAUCCUGGACCAAUAUUGACGCUGAGGAGCGAAAGCCAGGGGAGCAAACGGG